rnacentral:rRNA from 1 species
GAUAUGGCUCAGGAUGAACGCUAGCUACAGGCUUAACACAUGCAAGUCGCGGGGCAGCAUGUCGGUUGCUUGCAACCGAUGAUGGCGACCGGCGCACGGGUGAGUAACGCGUAUCCAACCUGCCCUUCACCACGGAAUAAUCCAGUGAAAAUUGGUCUAAUACCGUAUGAGGUCAUACGAUGGCAUCAGAAUAUGACGAAAGGUUUAGCGGUGAAGGAUGGGGAUGCG